rnacentral:rRNA from 1 species
GAUGAACGCUAGCGGCAGGCCUAAUACAUGCAAGACGAACGGUAAGUUGAGUAGCAAUACUUAGCCAAGAGUGUCGUACGGGUGCGUAACACGUAUGCAACCUACCCUAUACAGGAGGAUAGCCUAGGGAAACCUGGAUUAACCCUUCAUAGUAUUAUUGGAUGGCAUCAUUUGAUAAUUAAAACUGAGGUGGUAUAGGAUGGGCAUGCGUCUGAUUAGUUAGUUGGCGGGGUAAUGGCCCACCAAGACGAUGAUCAGUAGGGGUUCUGAGAGGAAGAUCCCCCACACUGGCACUGAGAUACGGGCCAGACUCCUACGGGAGCAGCAGUAGGGAAUAUUGGGUCAAUGGAUGCAAGUCUGAACCAGCCAUGCCGCGUGCAGGAAGAAGGCCUUUCUGGGUUGUAAACUGCUUUUGCCAGGGGAUAAAAUUCCAUGCGUGGAAACUGAAGGUACCUGGUGAAUAAGCCACGGCUAACUACGUGCCAGCAGCCGCGGUAAU